GACGAACCGUGCAAACGUUGUUCGGAAUCACUGGGCUUAAAGGGCGCGUAGGCGGGCUCGCCAGUCAGGGGUGAAAGCCCACGGCUCAACCGUGGAAGUGCCUCUGAUACUGCGAGUCUCGAGGGAGGUAGGGGCGUGCGGAACUUCCGGUGGAGCGGUGAAAUGCGUAGAUAUCGGAAGGAACACCGGUGGCGAAAGCGGCGCGCUGGACCUCUUCUGACGCUGAGGCGCGAAAGCCAGGGGAGCAAAGCGGG
rnacentral:rRNA from 1 species